rnacentral:misc_RNA from 1 species
AAAAGAAUGUUUAUAAACUAUCUCCAUCAACCUACCUUUGGCGAAUCCAACACACUUAAAGGGUUAGGUAUAUAUAUAUAUUUAACUUACUUUUGCUAGAAACAAAAUCCUAACACCAGUAUUGUGUUAACAUUUUGUGCAACCUUCUUUACAGUUCAUCAUAAUCAGCGGACGCGCAUUGCAUGUGAGAUGUCUUCUUACCUCAAUACUCCUCAGCAGUUCUCAUCGUGACCUUUAGAAAUUUGAUGUGGACAAGCUUUAACACGGAACAGAAUUUGUUUUCUUGAACUGACGUUCAAUUAUCCUUGUGAUCAUGUGUUUGCUUUACAGUUUGUGAACCUCCUCCUUGCGAAUCAGAGCUUUCUGCUUGUGAGACUAGAUAGUCAAGUGCGACAACAAUAUCACUGAUGAUGGGGCGAAAACUGGCUUGCUCCUGGAUACACAUUGCAGUAAUUGCAACUGCAUGGUGCAAAGAGCGCACGGAAAACUGACCAUUCAACAAAGGAUCAACCAUAUGAACAAACUUUCUCCGGUCCUUGAGGAAAGGACGAGACCAAACAACUAGGUUCUGUUCUCCAGCCUCUUUAGAGUUGUCAUAAGCCUUUCGCCCUGUUAUUAACUCCAACAGCACAACACCUAAACUAUAGAUGUCAGAUUUCAGAGUCAAUUUUCCACUCAUGGCAUACUCAGGGGCACAGU